GCUCAUUAUAUCAGUUAUAGUUUAUUUGAUAAAUAUCUUACUACUUGGAUAACCGUANUAAUUCUAGAGCUAAUACAUGCGUUAANUCCCGACUUUACGGANGGGAUGUAUUUAUUAGAUAUCAAUCANCCCGUUUCGGCGGUGUUUGGUGAGUCAUAAUAACUUUGCGAAUCGCAGCGUCUUCGGACGGCGAUGAAUCAUUCAAGUUUCUGCCCUAUCAGCUUUCGAUGGUAGUGUAUUGGACUACCAUGGCGGUGACGGGUAACGGAGAAUUAGGGUUCGAUUCCGGAGAGGGAGCCUGAGAGAUGGCUACCACAUCCAAGGAAGGCAGCAGGCGCGUAAAUUACCCAAUCCCAAUUCGGGGAGGUAGUGACAAUAAAUAUCAGUACGGGGCCUUCGGGUCCUGGAUGGAAUGAGUACAAUUUAAAUCCCUUAACGAGGAUCAAUU
rnacentral:rRNA from 1 species